rnacentral:lncRNA from 10 species
GGUGACGCGUGCGCCGGCCGGCCGCCGAGGGGCUACCGUUCUGCCUCCGACCGGUCGUGUGUGGGUUUACUCGGAGAAAUACUAGGCUUUAGAAUUUCACCAUAUGAAUUUUGGGAGAGAGGAGCACAGUUCAGCCCAUAACUAACACACGACGGAAUGAAGUUGAUAAUAGUGAGACCUUGUUGGUACAAGACUAUGUAACAUAACCUGCGCUUCUCAACAAAGAAUUGCUUUUCUGACUUCUGCACUCAAUAGCAAGACAAAUCUCUCCUCUGCCUUCUCCUUAUCAGACUACUCAACAUGAAGGCAAUAAGAAUGAAGACCUCUAUGUAUAAUAAUUGACUUCCACUUAAUAAAUAGGCACAAAACUAACAGAUCUCAGCAUCUGGCGUGGACUACUACUACUCUUUAUCUACCUCCUUAAACCUGAAUCAACAAAUCUUUGUUAGAAUGAUGCUUAAGUCACGAUGUUCAUUUCCAGCUGCUGUGGAAGACAAAACUCUACCUUUAUUUUUUAGGUUACUUGGUACACUGGUCGACAAAACCUUGAAAUGUUGAUGUUUAAGGGCUGUUGAUUGCUGGCAGCAAAGAAGUCCAACUGUGCUGGUACCCGAGAUAGCGUCUCCACAUUUUCUUCCAGGAUC